AGGAAGGCCCGCACAGGGACCUCCGGACGACGGUUCAGUACCCGGCACGCGACAAGACUGGCCAAA
rfam:Arthrobacter sp. SRS-W-1-2016 contig39843, whole genome shotgun sequence.